AAUCAACGCUGGCGGCGUGCCUAACACAUGCAAGUCGCACGAGAAAGGGACUUCGGUCCUGAGUACAGUGGCGCACGGGUGAGUAACACGUGAAUAAUCUACCUCCGAGUGGGGAAUAACUGAGAGAAAUCUUAGCUAAUACCGCAUAACACUUACGAGUCAAAGCAGCAAUGCGCUUGGAGAGGAGUUCGCGGCAGAUUAGUUAGUUGGCAGGGUAAUGGCCACCAAGACGAUGAUCUGUAUCCGGCCUGAGAGGGCGCACGGACACACUGGGACUGAAACACGGUCCAGACUCCUACGGGAGGCAGCAGUGGGGAAUUUUGCGCAAUGGGGGAAACCCUGACGCAGCAACGCCGCGUGGAGGAUGAAAUCCCUUGGGAUGUAAACUCCUUUCGAUCGGGAAGAUAAUGACGGUACCGAGAGAAGAACGCCCGGCUAAC
rnacentral:rRNA from 1 species